UUGCGUUCAGACCGAACGAUCGAACUGUUUUGAUACUUAUUCGUAGCUGGAGGUUGAGUUUUGCUUGUUGCUCUAUCCCGAGCCGCUCCAGCUGGUGUGGUGACUUUUGAACAGAUGUACGAUCGAUUACCAACACUAGUAAAUUAGCAAAUCUGGUUUCUCUCAGAGCUUGCUCGAUCUAGUUUUGAUUGAGCGUCACGAUCAAUUUUUACCACAAAACAAAUUGUGAACAAAGCGGCCGGUAACAUCCGUUAAACGAAUGAAUUUCUGGAUGGAUGAGGAUGUCUACGACCACCCUGCAGCUUCAACGAUAGGUCAACGAUAAAGCAGUGUCACGUCAUCGAUAAGCGAUCGGAUUCAAUCAGUGAUCAGAUAAGGAUGGAGAAUGCUGUUCGUCACACUAUCACAUGCUACAUUUUCGGCUUGGACGGCUGGACUUCGAUGGAUCUUGAUCCUGCUAAGGUGCUGGAUUAGUGCCGUUCCAAAUUGCGACAGAGCUACAAGUAAGCCCACGUGGUUAAUUUUAUACUUACACUUAAAAAAGUCAUAAAAUAAAUGUUUUGUAGUAUGUUAAUUAGAAUAAAUUAUGUGUUUUGGCGCUACGUAUAUUGUGUUAGAUUGACAAAUAAACUUGUAUACUAAAACUUAAA